rnacentral:sRNA from 1 species
GGAUAUGAGGGCAAUCUGGCUGCGACAUCUGUCACCCUACUAAUCGCCAGGGUUGAUUUGGCUGAUCUGGCUGACUAGAUGGUGUCCUCUUCCUCCCUCACUGCUCCAUAUGUGUCCCCAUCGAGCUGUGUGUUCAGUCAAAGAGGAUGACUUUGCCUGAUAAAAUUCUUUGGUCAUGGGUAUACAAGUAGCUGCACUCUCCUGCUAGAACCUCCAAACAUGGCUCUCAAAAUACAUCUCCU